CCUACGGGGGGCUGCAGUGGGGAAUAUUGCACAAUGGGCGCAAGCCUGAUGCAGCCAUGCCGCGUGUGUGAAGAAGGCCUUCGGGUUGUAAAGCACUUUCAGCGGGGAGGAAGGCGGUGAGGUUAAUAACCUCAUCGAUUGACGUUACCCGCAGAAGAAGCACCGGCUAACUCCGUGCCAGCAGCCGCGGUAAUACGGAGGGUGCAAGCGUUAAUCGGAAUUACUGGGCGUAAAGCGCACGCAGGCGGUCUGUCAAGUCGGAUGUGAAAUCCCCGGGCUCAACCUGGGAACUGCAUUCGGAACUGGCAGGCUAGAGUCUUGUAGAGGGGGGUAGGAUUCCAGGUGUAGCGGUGAAAUGCGUAGAGAUCUGGAGGAAUACCGGUGGCGAAGGCGGCCCCCUGGACAAAGACUGACGCUCAGGUGCGAAAGCGUGGGGAGCAAACAGGAUUAGAUACCCGUGUAGUC
rnacentral:rRNA from 1 species